GGUGGCCUAGUGGUUAGAUAGUCUGCCUCGUAUGUGGGAGGCCGUGGGUUCGAUCCCCGGCAGAGUCA